rnacentral:misc_RNA from 1 species
GAUGAAGAACGUAGUGAAAUGCGAUAAGUAAUGUGAAUUGCAGAAUUCAGUGAAUCAUCGAAUCUUUGAACGCACAUUGCGCCCAUUAGUAUUCUAGUGGGCAUGCCUGUUCGAGCGUCAUUUCAACCCUUAAUCCUAGCUUAGUGUUGGGAAUCUGCUGUAUUGCAGUUCCUCAAAUACAACGGCGGAUCUGUAACAUCCUCUGAGCGUAGUAAAUUUUUAUCUCGCUUUUGUUAGGUGUUGCAGCUCUCAGCCGCUAAACCCCCCAAUUUUUGUGGUUGACCUCGGAUCAGGUAGGAAUACCCGCUGAACUUAAGCAUAUCAAUAAGCGGAGGA